CCUAGAUGAUUUUAGUGCUUGCACUAAAUGAAACUAGAUACAAGCGAGCGGCGGACGGGUGAGUAACACGUGGGUAACCUGCCCAAGAGACUGGGAUAACACCUGGAAACAGAUGCUAAUACCGGAUAACAACACUAGACGCAUGUCUAGAGUUUGAAAGAUGGUUCUGCUAUCACUCUUGGAUGGACCUGCGGUGCAUUAGCUAGUUGGUAAGGUAAUGGCUUACCAAGGCGAUGAUGCAUAGCCGAGUUGAGAGACUGAUCGGCCACAUUGGGACUGAGACACGGCCCAAACUCCUACGGGAGGCAGCAGUAGGGAAUCUUCCACAAUGGACGAAAGUCUGAUGGAGCAACGCCGCGUGAGUGAAGAAGGGUUUCGGCUCGUAAAGCUCUGUUGGUAGUGAAGAAAGAUAGAGGUAGUAACUGGCCUUUAUUUGACGGUAAUUACUUAGAAAGUCACGGCUAACUACGUGCCAGCAGCCGCGGUAAUACGUAGGUGGCAAGCGUUGUCCGGAUUUAUUGGGCGUAAAGCGAGUGCAGGCGGUUCAAUAAGUCUGAUGUGAAAGCCUUCGGCUCAACCGGAGAAUUGCAUCAGAAACUGUUGAACUUGAGUGCAGAAGAGGAGAGUGGAACUCCAUGUGUAGCGGUGGAAUGCGUAGAUAUAUGGAAGAACACCAGUGGCGAAGGCGGCUCUCUGGUCUGCAACUGACGCUGAGGCUCGAAAG
rnacentral:rRNA from 1 species